rfam:Candidatus Saccharibacteria oral taxon TM7x, complete genome.
CAAUUCUAAGGAACAUUACCAAAGACAGUGGCGAUUUGUGUAAAAACAGAUGUAAAAAUGCCACCGAGGGAUGAAACUAACAGUUUUAUUUGACGUCUUUGGUAGUGCGAGAAUCAAAGACGUUUUUUGAUUCUCCAU